rnacentral:rRNA from 1 species
CGCGUAGGUGGUAGUGCAAGUCUGGGGUGGAAUCCCAGGGCUUAACCCUGGAACUGCCUUGGAAACUGUAUUACUUGAGUCAGUGAGGGGAGGGUAGAAUUCCUGGUGUAGCGGUGAAAUGCGUAGAUAUCAGGAGGAAGGCCUGUGGCGAAGGCGGCCCUCUGGCGCUGAACUGACACUGAGGCGCGAAAGCGUGGGGAGCAAACAGGAUUAGAUACCCUGGUAGUCCACGCCCUAAACGGUGGGUACUAGGUGUAGGGCUCGUAAGGGUUCUGUGCCGAAGCGAAAGCAUUAAGUACCCCGCCGUGGGGAGUACGGCCGCAAGGUUGAA